rnacentral:pre_miRNA from 1 species
GGUCCAAAUAUGAAGGGAAUUAGAUUAGAAGGAUCAUCUGACCCUACUAAACUACUCUACUUCGAGUUUGUGCCC